GGUGGUGGGGACUGUCAAAGGGAGGCUGCUGGAAUUUUGUUGUUGAAGGGUGGUGCGUGCGAAGAGAUGUUGCUGAAGUCGCUUUGUUGGCUGGGAGAAGCCACAUUGAGUUCCUUACUGCCCUGGAGAGGAAGGCAAUUCUAAAAGCUGUUGUUAGGGGCAAUUUAGUAAAUAGCCCAGUUCAUUUCAAUGACCUGGCACAUAAUUUUUCACGUGAUUUAAGGAUGCUUAGAUCUUUAUAUUUUAGACCCACUUCUUCUGCAGUAUAUGAAGUACGAAAUUUUAAUGAGCCCAUUAAACCUAAGCCCAACUCCCCAUUUCCAAUUCAAAAGACUUGCGGCCCACUUUUAAACUUUGAGAUGGGGGCCAAGUUUGACCAUUCCCUUUCCAACCCACCAAUUGUAAAACCCAUCAAUGGGCCUCACUCACCUUCUAUUUUCUUCACCAAACUUUUACAGCCAAUUCCGCUUAAUUUCUUGUACCCAAAAAGCUACGGCCCACUUGAGUAUAAAGAGAAAGUACUCAAAUCUGACCAACCUAAUUUACCCAAACACCCCACCCAAUCCUUCAACACAUAUUUUUGUACAUUUAAACCCAUAGUCCCACCACUGUCAAAGCCUACCCUUUUUACCCAGAUUUUCAAACCCAUUUAUUCCACAUUAUUUUCCCUUUACCUCAACCCUCUUAAGGGAUAUACACCUGACCCCAAAGUUGCUUAUUCAGUCAUUAACGCAAAGACUGUUAACCAAAUUCUACUUCCACUUUCCACUCCCCAGCAACUCACUACUUCACCCGACCCGUUUACUAAUCUCAUCAAAACCUUCCCAGCAAACUUCCUUUCAUGUCCCCGUAAUCCAAACACUUCCCUUCACAAUUCAACCUCUAUCCACUUUACUCAUACUUAUAUUUUUUUCCGUAUCUGAGCUGUUGAGUUCUGCGGCCAUGGGCAAGUCACUUACAUUGCUGAAAUCUACACUAGACAUAGAGGAGCUCGAACGACAAAGCGAACAAUAUUCUGAAGAUGGAAGUCACCAUUGCUGCAAUUGUCGAGCAUUCAGUGCAAAUUUCUAUCCACCUUGAGGACAAGGUGAAUGUUUGGGCGGCCGGUAAUGUAAUGAAUCAACCUAGAGAGAAGGGUAUUUUUGGUAUAGUAAUAAUUCGUUAGUUUUAUAGUAGCUUGAAGAAUAAGCUAGGGAGUUAAGGAGAAAAUAUUUCUAUAAAUAGAAGAGAUUAGGGAGAGAAAAGAUCAUCAAGAAAAAUAUUGGAGAGUUUAUUUUAGUUGCUAGCUUUGGGAGUGUGUCAAGUCACUCGAAAACUUGAUAAACUAUCUUUAUCUACUGUCAUUUUCCAUUGUUAUCAAUCAAAGAUCAUCAUCUUCUUCCUUUAUAUUUCUGCUCAAAUUAUCAGUUCAUUACAUGGGAUUUCCUUGAAUGUAUGUACUAAUAUCAGUCCGUGUGAAGGAAUGAAUUGAAUGAUUGAUGAGAAUAGAGUUGUUCUGGAUUCCGAAAGAAGACCUUUAUUGGGUUAAUUGUGUGAAAGACCUUAAUCUCUCCUAUCUUGUUGAGGUUUAUUUAUUAUGCAACCUUGAUUAUUUUUUUAUUCUGGAAAGCUUUAUCUCUAAAACUAUGAGUCUUAUUAUAUUUAUAGGAUACAGUUUUGUGUGGCUGUAUUUGGAACUUUAGCUUCAUCCACUUAUUGGUUGUUAUUCUUUGAGCCACUCAGCAUAGCAUUCGAGACAUUGCAGGCUAUUGUGGUGCACGGAUUCCAGCUAAUGGAUAUUUGGCUGCACUAUUUUGCUGCAUAGACUUAAUUGCCAAAUAUCAAAGUUUUUUGACACAACUGCAGGCUUUACUAAGUGUAGUUGUAAAGCGUGUCAAAGGAUUCAUCCAAUUGAAGAUAGCUCUAGGUGCACUUCAUGAAGCACUUCCUGAUGCCACGUCGGAGGAGAUACAAGCAUAUGAUGAUGAAUGUGCCAUCUGUAGGCUGACUUUUGGACUACUUUCAUAUCUACGCUUAAACAACUUCUCAUACCCUCUACUGGAUAUCAACAGGAGCCAUUGGCAAAGGCUAAAAGGCUUCCUUGCAAUCACCUUUUCCAUCUUGCUUGCUUGAGAUCUUGGUUGGAUGAACGACAUAAUGAGAUAUAUUCAUGUCCUACCUGUCGAAAACGCCUUUUUGUUGGAAGACCUGAAAGUGAGGCAGUUUCCCCUGGCUGCACACAGAUAUCCCACAGCACCUGUUGCUGCAGAUAUGAGGAUUCACUACAAAAAAAAAUUCGCUAUAGAGGCACAUCAUCUGGCUGAGUUGCCUCUGAAACCCCCUUUUAGCAUCCCAUAAACAUGGUUGCCUCUAAAUUAUAUGGUUUUUAGUGUCAAAUAUAUUGUGGUGCCUCUAAAGAUACAUUUCAGCAUCAGAUGUAUGUUGGUUGUCUCAAAAACCAUGUUUUUAGCA